GGUCCCGCCUGCCCUGUGACUAUAUGUUUAACGGCCGCGGUAUUUUGACCGUGCGAAGGUAGCGCAAUCACUUGUCUCUUAAAUGGGGACCUGUAUGAAUGGCAUAACGAGGGCUUGACUGUCUCCUCUUUCAGGUCAAUGAAAUUGAUCUCCCCGUGCAGAAGCGGGGAUAGACACAUAAGACGAGAAGACCCUAUGGAGCUUUAGACACUAAAGCAGAUCAGCAUUAAUACCCCAAAUACGGGACACGAAUAAACUGAACCCUGCCCUAAUGUCUUAGGUUGGGGCGACCGCGGAGAAAUAAAAAACCCCCGCAAGGACUGAAUGUACUACAUUCACAACCAAGAGCGACAGCUCUAAUUAACAGAUAUUUCUGACCAAUAAGAUCCGGCAACGCCGAUCAAUGGACCAAGUUACCCUAGGGAUAACAGCGCAAUCUCCUCUUAGAGCCCGUAUCAACGAGGAGGUUUACGACCUCGAUGUUGGAUCAGGACAUCCUAAUGGUGCAGCCGCUAUUAAGGGUUCGUUUGUUCAACGAUUAAAGUCCUACG
rnacentral:rRNA from 1 species